GAUAAACGCUGGCGGCGUGCAUGAGACAUGCAAGUCGAACGAAGGAUCGGGCUUGCUCGAUCCUUAGUGGCGGACGGCUGAGUAACGCGUAGGUGACCUACCCCGAAGUGGGGAAUAACUGCCCGAAAGGGUGGCUAAUACCGCAUGUGGUCGCACGUUCAUUCGUGCGAGUAAAGCCGCAAGGCGCUUCGGGAGGGGCCUGCGUCCGAUUAGCUCGUUGGUGGGGUAAUGGCUUACCAAGGCGACGAUCGGUAGGUGGUCUGAGAGGACGAUCACCCAGACUGGGACUGAGACACGGCCCAGACUCCUACGGGAGGCAGCAGUCGGGAAUUUUGCUCAAUGGGGGAAAUCCUGAAGCAGCACCGCCGCGUGAGGGAUGAAGGCCUUCGGGUUGUAAACCUCUUUUGUCAGGGACGAUGAUGACGGUACCUGGCGAAUAAGCCACGGCUAACUACGUG
rnacentral:rRNA from 1 species